rnacentral:rRNA from 1 species
CCUACGGGUGGCAGCAGUCGAGAAUCAUUCACAAUGGGGGAAACCCUGAUGGUGCGACGCCGCGUGGGGGAAUGAAGGUCUUCGGAUUGUAAACCCCUGUCAUGUGGGAGCAAAUUAAAAAGAUAGUACCCCCAGAGGAAGAGACGGCUAACUCUGUGCCAGCAGCCGCGGGAAUACAGAGGUCUCAAGCGUUGUUCGUAAUCACUGGGCGUAAAGCGUGCGUAGGCUGUUUCGUAGGUCGUGUGUGAAAGGCGCGGGCUCAACCCGCGGACGGCACAUGAUACUGCGAGACUAGAGUAAUGGAGGGGGAACCGGAAUGCUCGGUGUAGCAGUGAAAUGCGUAGAUAUCGAGAGGAACACUCGUGGCGAAGGCGGGUGCCUGGACAUUAACUGACGCUGAGGCACGAAGGCCAGGGGAGCGAAAGGGAUUAGAUACCCGUGUAGUC